rnacentral:tRNA from 1 species
GCGUCCGUAGCUCAGCUGGAUAGAGCGCCGGACUUCGAAUCCGUAGGUCGCAGGUUCGAAUCCUGCCGGGCGUG